UCACAACAUACUUCAUACCGUGUACAUUAUAACAUACCAUAAUAGACCCAUUUCUGUAAUAUACUCACAUAUCUAUAUUAUUGCUAAUAUAUAUUGUAAUAUAUCUAUAUCACUAAAGCACUUCUGGAUGGAUGCAAACUGCAUUUCGUUGCCCUGUACCUGUGCAUGUGCAAUGACAAUAAAGUUGAAUUCUAUUCUAUUCUAUUCUAUUCUUCAGUCUGCCUCGAGGCCGGCGUCCUUCUGGGUCGAUCCUCAUAGCCGUUUUUGCUACAGAGUUCUCAUCGCUUCGAAUCACAUGUCCGUACCACCUCAGGCUCAAGCAUCUGCAGUAAAUGAUAUUGUAAACCUAUAAAUUAAUGAACAUACCACAGUCAGUUCAUUCGAAUUUUAAGCUGCAAUCCAACAGUUUGACAGCGAGCCCACACUCGGCACUUGCUCCAGACUAUGUGCAGUCGGUGAGCCGUUUGCUGUGUAGCAACAGAUGCGUCAGUGACAUUUUCCAUUCAGCCCAGUCUUCCUCCUGCAGUCGCACCUCAGAAAAUAAGAACUCGACAGCAGUGGAAUCAAGUUUAUUCUCAAGCAAGUUUAUUCUUAGCUGGCUGCAAAUUUAGUGAUGCCACGCAGCUGCAUUUGUUAAACGACAGUCCAGCUGUGAACAACAGGAUACUCUUCUGUACUGUGAAGAAUUAAGAGGCAAAGGAGGGCCAACCCAGUAUUAGCUAGGUCUAAGUAAAAAAAAAAAAAAAAGCAUGUCAUAUUUUAAUAUGUAUGACCUAACAAAUAUUGAACAUACAACCACAACAUCAGCAGCUAUACCCGAUCAGGUCGGACGUGAAGCUACAGCACAGCUGUGCAAACGCUUUCAAAAUGUACAAUUUACAGCACACAGUACAACUCACUGUAUUUAUAAACCAGGGAAAACGUCUGAAUUCACCAAAGAGGCCUAAAAGUCUUAGAACUGAAGUUUGAGACCACUUUACGUAACCGGCUGAAAUGAAUCGUCGAGCCUUAAAAUGCCAAAAUGUGAUUUGUUAGUCCACAUCGCCCAGCUCAUAUCUCGUGUAAACAAUUAUUCCAAGACAUCAGAGAUAUUAGAUACUCUAUGCGAUUACAACAACCUCCUUUCAUCCCUUCUUCAACGAGCAUUACCGGGUGUUGUCAUCCAGAUUAGCUAUGCUAAUCCACCGGCAUCAUUCUCCAACUUCUUUGCGUUUGAUUUGGAUUUUCAGCCUGUUCCCAACUCUG
ensembl:lncRNA